rnacentral:rRNA from 1 species
CGCCGCGUGAGUGAUGAAGGCUUUCGGGUCGUAAAACUCUGUGUAGGGAAGAACAAGUACAAGAGUAACUGCUUGUACCUUGACGGUACCUAACCAGAAAGCCACGGCUAACUACGUGCCAGCAGCCGCGGUAAUACGUAGGUGGCAAGCGUUAUCCGGAAUAUUGGGCGUAAAGCGCGCGCAGGCGGUUUCUUAAGUCUGAUGUGAAGGCCCACGGCUCAACCGUGGAGGGUCAUUGGAAACUGGGGAACUUGAGUGCAGAAGAGAAAAGCGGAAUUCCACGUGUAGCGGUGAAAUGCGUAGAGAUGUGGAGGAACACCAGUGGCGAAGGCGGCUUUUUGGUCUGUAACUGACGCUGAGGCGCGAAAGCGUGGGGAGCAAACAGGAUUAGAUACCCUGGUAGUCCACGCCGUAAACGAUGAGUGCUAAGUGUUAGAGGGUUUCCGCCCUUUAGUGCUGCAGCUAACGCAUUAAGCACUCCGCCUGGGGAGUACGGUCGCAAGACUG